AUGCCUUGUUCUUCCUAGGCUUCCUUUGCGUUGCAAUCGCCGGAGGAGUCGGAGGCCAAGCUCCCGCAACCUCACCCACCGCCACACCAGCUCCUCCAACCCCCACUACUCCACCUCCGGUCACCUCAUCCCCACCCCCAGCAGCCACCACACCUCCCCCAGUUGCCGCCUCACCACCUCCAGUGACCGCAUCUCCACCACCUGCCACUCCUCCUCCAGUGAGCGCACCUCCGCCCGCCACUCCACCUCCGGCAACCCCACCACCAGUCAGCGCUCCCCCACCGGCCACUCCACCACCCGCAACUCCUCCCCCGGCUACUCCACCACCCGCCACUCCACCCCCGGCAACUCCACCACCAGCAACUCCACCUCCGGCCACUCCACCACCAGCUCCUCUUGCAUCGCCGCCAGCUUCAGUUCCAGCUCCAUCUCCCACGGUGAAGUCUCCGGCUUUGGCUCCAUCUCCUCUAGCUCUUUCCCCAGGUCCACCAGCGCCUCCUGUCGGAGCGCCUGGUCCC
rnacentral:lncRNA from 1 species